GGUUCUAGAACUUUCUAAGCCCUUCAGCUCCAACGAGCAGCUCCCAGGAGAGAUGCUGGUCCAGACCCUGCCCCAGCUGGAGGUUCAAACGGGAUCAGACAAACCUGAGUUCCAGACCCAAGCCGUGAGCCUCAGUUUCCCCCUCUGUGGGAGGGGGGGGGAGGGUGGCAGCCAUCAUGCCCCAAGCACCUGCUUCAAGCAGGGGUUCUAAAGAGGCAGGUGUUACAGAUUCUCUGCACGUGGUCUGCUGUCGAGUUCAUUGUCAUGAGCCACACCUGGAAGGUGUCAACCUUUUCCAGACUCUGCCUAGGUUUUCGAGACUUCUUUUUUUGAGUCUUUCAUAGUCACUGCAUCUAUGUCUAAUCAGAUAGCAGAAUAUUUUGUUACUUUUAAGAGAGAGAGAGAGAGAGAGCAGAGAGAGGCAGAGAGAGAGGGAGACAGAGGAUCCGAAGAGGGCUCCACAUUGAAAGUGGGGGGCCCGAGGAGGGGCUCGAACUUACGAGCUGCAAAAUCAUGACCUGAGUUGAAGUCGGUCGCCCAACCGACUGAGCCACACAGGCGCCCCCUCGGUUAGCAGAACACCAAGGAAAUAGGUGCCUGACCUUUGAACAAGUCCUUCCAGGACACAACGUUUUCACAGACACAGCAGCCCUCUUUCCCGCGGCGCUUGUAGCUGACAGGUUUGUGCAGCGUCUCGGCAAUUGCGCGUGAAUCGGGACAGGACGACCUCACUGAGCGGGUUUGGGGGCGAGCCGUCAGCGCAGACGGAGGGGCGAGGGCCUGGCCGCCUAGAGAGGAUUACGGGGGAGUCGGGCACAGUUUCUGGCGUUACCUGCAAUCCUCGGUGUCCCUGGACAUAUGGAUACAUCCCUCCAACCUGCCUCUGUUGUCACAUGGCCUCUCUCUCUCUCUGUGUCGUUCCUCUUCUUAUAAAGACGCCAGUCAUUGGCUGUAGGGCCCCCCCAAUCCAGUGUGACCCCAUUUCAAGCUAACCAAUUACAUCUGAAAAGACCUUAUUUCCAAAUGAGGUGACUUGG